AUCCUGGCUCAGGAUGAACGCUGGCGGCGUGCUUAACACAUGCAAGUCGAACGAAGCACCUUGGAAUGCGACUUCGGUCAAAGGAAGAGGUGACUUAGUGGCGGACGGGUGAGUAACGCGUGGGUAACCUGCCUCUUACUGGGGGAUAACAGUUAGAAAUGACUGCUAAUACCGCAUAAGACCACGGAGCCGCAUGGUUCUGGGGUAAAAGAUUCAUUGGUAAGAGAUGGACCCGCGUCUGAUUAGUUAGUUGGUGAGGUAACGGCCCACCAAGACCGCGAUCAGUAGCCGACCUGAGAGGGUGAUCGGCCACAUUGGGACUGAGACACGGCCCAAACUCCUACGGGAGGCAGCAGUGGGGAAUAUUGCACAAUGGGGGAAACCCUGAUGCAGCGACGCCGCGUGAGUGAAGAAGUAUUUCGGUAUGUAAAGCUCUUUAAGCAGGGAAGAUAAUGACGGUACCUGCAGAAUAAGCACCGGCUAAAUACGUGCCAGCCGCCGC
rnacentral:rRNA from 1 species